ACUCCUACGGGAGGCAGCAGUGGGGAAUAUUGCACAAUGGGCGCAAGCCUGAUGCAGCCAUGCCGCGUGUGUGAAGAAGGCCUUCGGGUUGUAAAGCACUUUCAGUCGUGAGGAAGGUAGUGUAGUUAAUAGCUGCAUUAUUUGUACGUUAGCGACAGAAGAAGCACCGGCUAACUCCGUGCCAGCAGCCGCGGUAAUACGGAGGGUGCGAGCGUUAAUCGGAAUUACUGGGCGUAAAGCGCAUGCAGGUGGUUUGUUAAGUCAGAUGUGAAAGCCCGGGGCUCAACCUCGGAAUAGCAUUUGAAACUGGUAGACUAGAGUACUGUAGAGGGGGUAGGAAUUUCAGGUGUAGCGGUGAAAUGCGUAGAGAUCUGAAGGAUACCGGUGGCGAAGGCGGCCCCUGGACAGAUACUGACACUCAGAUGCGAAAGCGUGGGAGCAAACAGGAUUAGAUACCCCUGGUAGCGACUGA
rnacentral:rRNA from 1 species